UCCUUAUAUAGAGCCGGGGGAGGAAACUGGUCUUACGAUCCCGCAGCAACCUCUUGCUUAUAAAGAAGGUGCUCAGUCCAGCAGAAAUAGUUCUGAAAGAUAAGGA
rnacentral:ncRNA from 2 species